CAUUGAGCCAAAAAUAUCCAUUCAAAAAAAUAAUAAUAAGUUUUCUAAAAAAUAAACUUGAAAAUUGCAUAUGCUUAGAGCAAAAACGAAACAAAAUCCGUGGUAUCCAGUAAAGCAGCAGACUGAUCAGGUAAAACAAGGCAAAAACAAACCUCAAAACUAUGAGGAGGAAAUCAUAGAAUAUUACCACAUCAUUAUUUUGUCUUAAUCAUUCCUAGGAUCCGAAAAUAGAAGAGCCAAGAAAGCUGGAACAAGUCAUUAUAUUUUUCUGGAAUAUGUAUUUGCUAAAAAAUGCAGAAAGUUUUUGCUGUCAGGAUACAGGCCGAGAAUAUUUUGAAAACGUGUGCUCUGGAAAAGACGGCAGAAAUGCUAGUCUACCUUCACUGUUUCACAGAUGGAAAAAAUCAAAGCUGAGGAGGAAGAGAAGGAGAAUUAAUGGGCUGCCCACACAAGCAAAAUUUGUUGGAGAACUGUUUAAUUCAUGAAUUUGGCAACUAUCCCCAGGCAAGCCAGGCUCUAGGAAAAACAUUACCUCUGCAUUUUGAGAAACGCCAGUGAAAUGUGUGCUGCUCUCAGACACAUGAAGAAGUUCC
rnacentral:lncRNA from 1 species